AGCCUUCUGAAUACGUGCCAAGACUUCGUUAGACACCAGACCAUCAGUACUGAUGAGACUCCCAAUAGGAGCGAAACA
rnacentral:pre_miRNA from 1 species